AGCAGCCGCGGUAAUUCCAGCUCCAAUAGCGUAUAUUAAAGUUGUUGCAGUUAAAAAGCUCGUAGUUGAAUUUCGGGGUUAGUAGGUUGGUCAUGCCACUGGUAUGUACUGGUCUCACUGAUUCCUCCUUCCUGAUGAGCCGUAAUGCCAUUAAUUUGGUGUUGCGAGGAAUCUGGACUGUUACUUUGAAAAAUUAGAGUGUUUAAAGCAAGCUAACGCUUGAAUACAUUAGCAUGGAAUAAUGAAAUAGGACGUUCGAUCCUAUUUUGUUGGUUUCUAGGAUUGACGUAAUGAUUAAUAGGGAUAGUUGGGGGCAUUAGUAUUCAAUUGUCAGAGGUGAAAUUCUUGGAUUUAUUGAAGACUAACUACUGCGAAAGCAUUUGCCAAGGAUGUUUUCAUUAAUCAAGAACGAAAGUUAGGGGAUCGAAGACGAUCAGAUACCGUCGUAGUCUUAACCAUAAACUAUGCCGACUAGGGAUCGGAUGAUGUUAUUUUUAAUGA
rnacentral:rRNA from 1 species